UACGUAGGGGGCAAGCGUUGUCCGGAAUUAUUGGGCGUAAAGAGCGUGUAGGCGGUCCGGUAAGUCAGCUGUGAAAGUCAAGGGCUCAACCCUUGAAUGCCGGUUGAUACUGUCGGGCUAGAGUCCGGAAGAGGCGAGUGGAAUUCCUGGUGUAGCGGUGAAAUGCGCAGAUAUCAGGAGGAACACCAAUGGCGAAGGCAGCUCGCUGGGACGGUACUGACGCUGAGGUGCGAAAGCGUGGGGAGCAAACAGG
rnacentral:rRNA from 1 species